CACUGGACGGAACGGCAUCGAUGGGGAGAAGCGCUGUCGACGUUUCGGGCCGAGACCUUCGUCAGGACUCCGACACGGGCGGCAUGAGAGCAGGUUUCUCCCGGGGCGACGGAGGGUGAGAGGCAUUGAUCGUGUGGGUAGUCAGAGGCUUUUUUCUGGGUCGGGAAUCCGGACGAAGGGUCUCGGCCCGAAACGUCGACAGCGCUUCUCCCUGUGGAUGCUGCCUGGCCUGAUGUGUUCCACCAGCAUUUUGUGUGUGUUGUUUGAAUUUCCAGCAUCUGCAGAUUUCCUCGUGGUCACUGGACGGAGCCUGACUUGAUCGAGUUCUGAAUACAGCCCAACCAGGAGCUCAGGCCCUUCCGACUCAGCACCAUCCUUAAGCUGCCUGAUCUGUAGAGAAUGCCUAUCAUCAGAACUGAUCUCAGCAUCUACUCUCAAGUUGUCCCAUCUUAACUAUUGCCUGCCCUGCAUCAGUGGACUGAUAUCGGACAAACGACAGAGGGCGCUUACCUCAAAUACAAUAAUGAAUGCUAGGCGUGCCGCCAGCACAUGCCAGAACUGUAUCGUGUAGGCGUAUGGCUGUUUCGAGUUGGGAGGCUCCCUGUAGUCACGAUGCUGCCUGACCUGCUGAGUUCCUCCCCAUUUUGUGCAUGUUGCUCUGGAUUUCCAGCAUCUGGAGAAUCUCUUGUGCUUAUAAACAGAAACAUACAACCCUUAGCAUUCCUGGUCCACUAACAGAACCACCACAUGAUUUUCCCAUGAGUUCACCUUUUAACAGUAUAGCGUGCAGUAAAAAUGCAG